GACGAACGCUGGCGGUGUGCUUAACACAUGCAAGUCGAACGGAAAGGCCUCUUUCGGGGGGUACUCGAGUGGCGAACGGGUGAGUAACACGUGAGUAACCUGCCCUUUACUUUGGGAUAACUUCAGGAAACUGGGGCUAAUACCGGAUAGGAGCUCCUGCUGCAUGGUGGGGGUUGGAAAGUUUCGGCGGUUGGGGAUGGACUCGCGGCUUAUCAGCUUGUUGGUGGGGUAGUGGCUUACCAAGGCUUUGACGGGUAGCCGGCCUGAGAGGGUGACCGGCCACAUUGGGACUGAGAUACGGCCCAGACUCCUACGGGAGGCAGCAGUGGGGAAUAUUGCACAAUGGGUGGAAGCCUGAUGCAGCAACGCCGUGUGCGGGAUGACGGCCUUCGGGUUGGAAACCGCUUUCGCUCAUGACGAAGCUUUGUGUGACGGUAGUGGGUAAAGAAGCACCGGCUAACUACGUG
rnacentral:rRNA from 1 species